UACGAAGGGGGCUAGCGUUGCUCGGAAUGACUGGGCGUAAAGGGCGCGUAGGCGGCGCAUUUAGUCAGGCGUGAAAUUCCUGGGCUCAACCUGGGGACUGCGCUUGAUACGGCUGUGCUUGAGGAUGGAAGAGGCUCGCGGAAUUCCCCCAGUGUAGAGGUGAAAAUUCGUAGAUAUUGGGAAGAACACCGGUGGCGAAGGCGGCGAGCUGGUCCAUUACUGACGCUGAGGCGCGACAGCGUGGGGGGAGCAAACAGG
rnacentral:rRNA from 1 species